AAAGUUCAAACGAGGAGUGCUGGUGGUGGUGGUUCACAGAUCCAAUUUAUGAAGAACAAAAGUAAGUUUGAAACUUUUGGGGCACGUGGGAUCCACUUGAUUUCCAAUCCCUGAGACCGACUUCAGAAUCAUGUGAUUCUUAUGAAUUAUGAUCAAGCGAUCACCCGAUGGUUAAAAGGACAGAACCUCCAAAUACGCGUUUCACAAUCACAGUAACAGUUCUCUCAAUUUGAGGGUCUCUCUCGCUUUGGCAUCUCCUAUCCUCCAAUCAAUCGAGCGAUCUUCGUUUCCUCUCCUCUUCUCCCCGUUUCUGGAGAAUGAAGCCUCCCUCGGAGUCUCUAGAUACUUCAGCGGACCAUUGCCGCUGAAGCCGCCGAGAAAUGGAAAGCAUUAUCCGCAGGAUCGCCUACGACCUCGGUUUUAGAAACCUCGUCAAAUUUUGCGAUUCGGAUGUUUCCAGGACCUGCCGUUUUCGUUUUCUUGCCAGAGCCUUGCAGAACGGAGCGAUUAGGCUCUACGUUUAGUCGAGGAAGACGUUGGAAGGGAAUUGUUGAGGGAGGCUAGCAAACAUCAGUGAGGAUGAAUGACUAUCUGCCUGUGAGAACCUGGGUGGCAUUCGACUUGGCUCUUCAAACCUCUUUGAGUGAGUAAAAUACUGCAACUUUGACAUUUCAUAUUCUCCUUUCCUUUUCUUUUUGGUGCCAGGGUGGUUGGUGUCCAAGGGGGGCAUCAAUCAUCAUCAACCCUCUAAUAUUUUUUUAAAUCAAUUCAAAUUCUUCUCUGCAUUUUUUUUGAAUACAUUUAAACAUUCAAUGACAGCUGCAGGGAAAUUAGAAAAAAGAUGAGCUGAUGUUUGUGAAAUAUCAGUAGUGUGAAAAGGUUAGAUUAAUACUUCUCGUUAUUCUUUGGGACUUGCUUGCCAUAAAUGAUCAUGGAAUAAGGGUUCAUUAA